CCUAUUCACUUUCAUAACCCCAAUCAUAAACUACUUUACAUUUGUUCUAACUACUACUUAUCCAAAACCUUUUGAGUUUUAUACCUUUAUACUUUACAUGAAUGACAUAAUGUCGAAUUCUCAGGAUCAGGAAUUAGGAACACAGAACAGCAAUUCAGAGGAUGAGCUGUUAACCUUUUUCUCUUCACCAACUAUGAAGAAAUUGCUGGAGGUGAUGGUUAUCCAGACCUUUGACCGCGUUUUGAAGCCAAAGUUGGAGAAUUCGAUUCGUAAUGUUGUAAAACACGAACUUGAACUGGCAGAGAAGAAGUUUUUGACUGCCAAGGGAAACACUGAGAAAGGUAUUCAAGCUCCCAAACCAAGAAGCUUGAAGUUAAAGUUCUUGACAAAGGUAUCCGACCCUGUACUUACCGGAGUGGAAAUUAAAGGAGAAGGAGGUAAUGCUAUUGAAGUGGCUUUAAUUGAUGAUAAUACUGGAGAAAUUGUUGAAUCUGGACCAGAAGCCUCAGCUAAAGUGGAAAUAGUUGUUCUUAAGGGAGAAUUUGGAGAUGAUGAUGGAUGUAAUUGGAGAGCUGAAGAGUUCUGUAGAAAUAUUGUCAGUGAGAGGAAAGGAAAUAAGUCUCUUCUUGCAGAAACUGUACAUGUGAGACUCAAUAAAGGCGUUGGUUCUAUAGAUCAGCUCAGAUUUACACAUUCUUCAAUCUAUAUGAGGACGGGUAUGUUCAGGCUAGGUGCAAGAAUUGUUGACACUUUCAAUAAUGUUCAAGUAAAAGAAGCAAGGACUGAAUCUUUCACUGUCAAGGAUGGGCGCCAGCAAUAUUAUGAGAAGCAUGAUCCACCAUCUCUAUCCGAUGGGGUACAUCGGUUAAUAAACGUAGGCAGAGGCAGUAAGAAGAACCUCAGGGUUGAAAAUGUCAACACAGUAGAGGACUUUCUGAUUUUGCUCCUCAAAGACCAUGACCGUCUCAUAUGUGUACUUAAUCUAAAGCCAAGACAAUUGGAGGAGACAUUAAGCCAUGCUCGAAGAUGCAUAAUUAAUGAACGGAUGUACUCUUUUAUUGACUUUCAAGAAAAGGAAGGUGUGGUUUUUAACAUUGUUGGAGAGGUGCUAGGGCUUAUUCUGGAGUCCCAUUAUCUACCUAUGCAUCAGUUAUCUGAAAGUGAUAAGGCUAAGGCUCAGAGGCUGCUAGUAUCUGCAUGUGAACAUUGGGAUCAUGUGAUACCGGUUGAUGAUGAGACAUCUCUUGUGCAAUAUCUUUCUCAAAAAUCGCCAUCAAUGAACCCUUUCAAUUCUCCAAGUCGAGAGGUUCCUAGCACCAAUAACGGUGUUGAGAAUUUAAGAAUAAGUGAUGGACAUUGUCAUACCUCCAGAGUUGCAAGUGCAGUCAGUCUGAAUGGUUGUGGUUCCACCAGUAUCAGUAACCUAGAUUUCUCUAACUUCCCAAUAUAUAGUCCUACAUUCCAAGAUAUUUUGAUUAACGAAUUCAACUUUGGGUGUGAAGACUUUGGUUUUGAAUCCGAUGUUCAUCAACCUCAUGAUGGUUCUGCCCCUAUGGUAAAAGCGCAGAGGCGGUGGAGAUUGUUGUUCGGUGUCUUAAUAUUGCUCUGUGCAAAAAGAAGAGCUGCAGCAUUAGAUAUUCAAGUUCUGAAGAAGCGGAAAGUCAUUUGAUUCUGUGGCUUUAGCCUGUUACUAUAGAGUUUGACAGCAGGUGGAGCUCCAAGAGCCAGUCAAGAAAGGAAAACUAAAGUCGCAUGGGGAAGUACUAAUUGACUUGUUGAGAAAAUAGUCAACAAGUUGCAUUGGAUAGAACUGCAACAAAAAGAAAUGAUGGUGUUCAUCUGGUAAUUUUGUAGAGACGACACAGGAGGAAAAAGCUGAAUGCAUAAAUAGGUCCAAAUAUUUAUGGAUCUGAAGCCAGUACAUGAUGCAACCGGCAUAUCAAUUGAAAGGCUGAGAAAGGAAUACGGGUUCUAUAAAGGGGAUAGCUCUUUAUCUGGAGACUUCUUUAUAUGGACAGUUGGAAACAUAACAAUCAAAUGGGAUUAACCUGUUAUCUGAAGACGAUACUU